CAUCUAAGAUGACAUUUAAUACCUCAAUCUUUGCCCAGUGUUCAUAAGCGGAAUACUUAUCCCACAACUGUACUUGGGUCAGACGCCUGUAGUGGAAAAACUCUUCUGUAAUUUCCUUUCUUUGGCGGGCAUCCGUUGUAGGAAGGUACAUGAUUAUACCAACCUGAUACAAAAUUUAAAACAGCUUUUACACAUGAGCAUUGUAGUUGGUAACAGCAUUUGAUAAGAGAGUUAACUAAUUCCACAUACAUGUAACAUAGCAGAGGUGUGUAAUAUUUUGGCCAGGGUGAGUAUCCAAUACAGAUACAGCCCCAAAUAAGGAUAUGGAUACUAAUAUGAUCAUUGUAUGUUACUACACUUAUUUACUUGGUGGUUGAUUGUUUUUUGUCACAUUUAAAUCAUUUUCACAAAAACC
rnacentral:lncRNA from 1 species